CUUUGUCCACCAAGAGAAUUCAGGGACGAGAAGCUGCUGUGGUUCCUGGCUUGGGGAGCUCACACCGACCCUAGCUCCUGGCAUUCAGGUAGCCAUUUCCCAGAGUCCACAGCACGCCCAUCCUCUUGUUUCUUACUUAACGCAGUGAGGCAUUUUCUGUCUUACAGAUGAAAACAUCUGAGGCUCAGGAUUAAGAACACCACGCAAGGCAAGGCCACACAACAAGGAGGUAGCGGGUGCCAAGGGAUGCCGGCACCAGGAGCCAGGCACCUCUGACAUCUUCCAACUUUAACUUCCCUUCAGAGUGUCAGCCAGCACUGAGUGUGCGACUUAGGAGCCACAAGGGAACAAAGCCAAGGGUUCACAGUGGAACUCUCCUCUUCCCUCCUGCAGAUGGAGAGUGUCGGCAUGUACGGGUUCUGUGGCUGCAAAGGAAAGAGCAAGCUGAAGUGUGACUCCAGGUGGGAAAUAGCAGCAGCAGCAGCAGGUAGGACGCGAGCUCACUGUACUGUAAGUACUGGUGUAUGCAGAGAGGGACCAGGCACCCUGGGAACAGGCACGCUUACGCUUGUGUACACCAGCGACAUCGACUUCACAGCACAGUCAGACCCACGAAGGAAAGUGUGUGUAGAGCAUGGACAGCCGUGCUCACUGGCCAUAGCUUAUAGAGUGGGGCCUGGCGUCUGUCGGCCCUGUUUGGCUCAUGCUGUCUCCUAGCUCUGUGCUGGUGGCCCUGGAGACCCAGUCACGUUCGGUACCAUAUGCAGGCAAGGAGAGAUGGCCUCUCUGGUGUUAGGAGCUUGUUUAUGCUUUAACAUAGUCUGUCUGCUCAGAGGAUGGCCUUCUUACCCCUCCUUCCUCAUGCCUCCCUCCAAUACCAGAGAAAACAAGUGGGCUAUUCAUGCAAGAAGAGAAAGAGCGAAAGGGGAGGGGAGUACCACCGGCAAACCCCAUUGAAAGCCACUGGCUGUUCAUUUACAUUCACACUUUUUAAAAAUGUUAGCUAAUGAUGUUAACUGGUCCGCCAAAGGUCCUGGCAGGUCAGUUGUAGAAGUGUCAUUUCUGCCUAAUUAGAGCUCUUGUGGCUGCCCCAGGCCUUCCAGUGCCAGUGGUGACAAGCGGGAGCUGACAGCUUCAUUUGCUGCAGGCAGGAAGGGUGAGCCGCUUCUGUUUUCCAACUCAGCCAGGUGUUUGCUGAAUGGGGAGGGGCCUGGCCCUAUCUGAGCGAGCGAGCAUCCGAGAUCCUUUUCUUUCACUCUGCCCUCCCAAGUCCUUCCCCUUUGCUUGUCUUGUCUUGUGUCAAGGUCAAGAAUGGGCUUUGCUAAAUCAGCCCUUUGGAUUAUCUCUGGGAGGUCGUUAGCAGCCCCAGCCCAGUUGCCAGGGUCCCAGGUCGCAGAUGCUGGACGCCCCCUCCCCCCCUUUCCUUAAAAAUCAGAGAGAAGGAUAAGGGGUCAGGAUAUUCCGGAUAGGAACAAUAAUGAAUAGAAGACAAAACGAAAAACUCUCAGAAAGCUCUACAUGGUCGUCUGAGUGUUAAAAAUCACUACCAGUAAAAUGGCUUAAAGAGAAACAGCUACAGCUCUGCAGACAACGCCAUAAGUACCUGAAAAGAGGACUGUGGCCGGAGCUGUUCUUACCCUGUCCCGGGCUGGAUUGCACCUCCCACAUAUUAGGUGUGCCUGCUUGGUUAUUUCUUGGUUUGAUUUUUCAAGAGCAAAAAAAAAUAAAAACAAAUGGCAGGCUGAGAGACAAAGAACUGAGGAGGCUAAGAAGCCACUAGUUCUUCAUUGUCCCCCACCCGGUUCCAGGUGGCAUGUGUUCUGACUUUCUCAGUUGCUUUUCAACUAAACUUGUCAGUUGGUAGGAUAAUCUUGAUUUUUUUUUUUUGUCUUGUUAUCAUGGUAAAAGAACCUAAUGUCAUUGGUGCUAGGCACCCCUGACUGCAGCGACUGCUACCCAAGGAGAGGGUCCCCCAGCCCUGACAGGACAUCUGGGUGUGAGCCUGACCCAUAUCCUCUCUAGCAGGUCAUGAGUUGAACACAGAAGCACCCGAGGACAUAUGAACACACAUGCACAUAUGGGGCACACUAUUCAGUCUGUGUCACAACAGCAGGAUAAUACACGGGCACUUGGGAACAGUGCCGUAUUACAGGGAGAAACGGAAAAUCAAUGCUUUAUGAAAGGCCAAGACUAAAUCCACAGGUCUGAAGAGGUAAGGGGCGUUGGAAGGAUAGGGCCUGCACUCCAGAGCUCUACCCCCUUUCCUUGCCUCUCCGUUCCUAGCUGCUCUUUCUGUCUGUUCUCACAUGGGACGGUGAGAAUUGGGGCCUGGAAAAUAGACCAUCCAUGCCUGGUGUUUGGUUACAGAGGUUAAACAGGAUGCCGCACAUUAGCACAUCUGUGCCACCUUGCCACAUACCAGGUGCCCAGUACCAGUGGCUGAACUCUGCCUUCCCAAGUGGUCCAUGGCUGCAGAAUAUGUGUAAUUCUCAGCCUCUAGUCAGUGAACCUACUAAGUGGAGAUGGAGACUGGCCACUCUGAGCUGUGCUUCUUCAGAGCCUGUCAUAGAAGGUCCUUGGGGCAUCCUGGAACAAGAAAACUGACAGGAUUGGCUCUGCUCAGGAAGGAAACAUGGAGAAACCUGGGCUUAUUCAAGCAGUUUCCUUUGUUUACCCUGCCCAGGGUUGCCAGUGAAGGGGCUCCUCCAUCACUAACUAAAGGUCUUAUCCUAUGCUGGUUCCUCUCCACCCCACCAUGCCACAGUGUAUUUCUUUCUCUUCCUCGUAGGUGAUCUUUUCCCCGGGCUUCUCAUUGUUCUGGGGACUGUUGUUUAUUUUCUAGUGCCUUUUCCAGGUGUGUGUGACUUGAACUCCUAAGAACAAUUCUAAGCCCUUUCUGGGCUCUGCCUCCUACACCCACCUCCAUCUUAGAAUCUUGGCUCUUGAAGCCACUACUGCAGUCAGCCUCCUCUGAGGGAGAGAGAUUGUUGUGUGGCUCUUGUAAGUGUGAAAAAAACAGCCACUUAAGAGCCUUCUUGUGGAUAUGAAGACAGGUAUUUAAAAAUCAUGGGGAAAGGAUUAGUGGUAGAGAAAACCUUCUAUAGCAUCCAAGUAAAAAUGGAAAAAAUAAGCUAUUUAGUUACAAAAACUAAAACAAACAAGACACUUGUAAAGAUCACAGAGCAAGGAUCACGUGGCUGACAGCAGUGGAGUUUGCAGUAACUGGCCACCACAGCGGGGACUCUGGGAAGGUGAAAUCAUGCUCAGUUAAUUUUAUUCUCUGAAAGGCAGACCUGACUUGUGUUAUUACAUUGCUCAGCCCUUGAGCAUUUCUUUGAGCAACAUUCAGUGUUAUAUUAUGUAAGCUUGACACCAAGAAGAAGGUACUAUUGUAGAUAUUCAAUUUAAUAACAGGGCUCUACCACUCAAGUUGCAUGCUGGAUAUCACAUGGCUUACAAGGAGUGAAGCUAAGACCUGAGCCCAUGCAGCAUGGGUCAAGUCCACCACUGGCUGUUCUCAGUUAGACCUCCAGAAGACAUCCUGCCUCCUCUUAUAAAUAGCCACCUCACUGACGGGCUGUGUACUGGGGUUUCAGUUUGUGUCUCCUCUGAAUGACAAGCUCCUUGGAACGGGUGACACUCAUUUCCCCUUGUGUUCUCAUGCCCAGCCAAGGACUGAAAUACUGCAGAGACUCCUGCUGUUGGUUGAAUUUAAUAAAGUUCAAGCUAAAUGUUUAUGCAUAUGCAUGUGUAUAUUUUUUUCUCCUUGCCUCCUUAUGUAUAUGCCUACAUUUAAUAUAUAUAUAACAUAUUCACGUUAUAUAUACCAUAUGCUAAUAUGUAUACAUACAUGUGUAUGUAUGUAAACAUACCCUGCACCUGUAUAAGAGUGUUUGGAGUGGAAGAAAGGAUCCAUUGCAGUCUGGAAGCAUAUAAGUAUGGUAUGUGGUCUCAUUGAGUUUGAAUUCUGAAAUCAGCUUGCUGCCCUGAGAAAUGAAUGGAACCACGUGCAUCUAUCUCGGCCUGCGUGUUCCUUGAGAGAUGCCUGCAAACUCUCCAGUGUCUGCCAGGGUAAUCUUGCUAUGUUUAGAUCAGAAGCCUACGAGAGGAUGGGGCUCAGGGAGAUGGCAUUAGCCCUAACCCCCAUCCCACUGUGGGUGGCACCAUCCCCUGGGCAGUUGGUCCUGGGAUGUCUUAGAAAGCCACUUAAGCAUGAACUUGAUCAAGUCAGCAAGCCGUGUUCUUCUGUGGUUUGGGCUUCACAUGCCCACUUGGGUCUCUGCCCUGAGUUUUCUUGGUGAUGACUGAUUAAUAAGAUGGAAUAAAGCACUUCUCCCCAACAUGUCUCUUUGGAUCAGAGUAUUUUGUCACAGUAGAAGAGGUUAAAUAAAAAUGGUGGUGCAGGAUGGCAUGGGCCAGGUGAAUAAUGACCAUCGUAAGGGACAGCCUCACACCACAGCUUUGCUGGACUUUGAGACAACUGUGGAUUGGGAGAGCUAAUGGUUAGGUGACGCAGUUUUGGAGCAGCAAACCCUGCUAUCUCUGUUUUAUUAUCUCUUACCUCAUAACACCUCUGGUAUAUUGGACACAUCUGUGUGCCAGUCACCCAUGACGCCUCACCACCCACCAUACUGGACUGUGCCAUGCCCAGUCUUGCAGCCCCUCUCAUGCUUCUCCCUGACAUGCAGAAAUUCCAUCAGGGUGUGGAGGCUCUGAUGAAAACAUAAAAACAUGUUGGCUCUUCUUGCACUUUCUGGUCACCACAGAGUCAACUGUGCCUAUACUCAGAUGGCUUACCUGUCUGUGAUAUUUCCCAUUUUGGUUUGUAAAUGCUUACAAAUUUUUAGCAUUCUUUCAUAGAAGUCAGAAUUUGUA
rnacentral:lncRNA from 1 species